UACGAGGGGGGCAAGCGUUGUUCGGAAUUAUUGGGCGUAAAGGGUGCGUAGGCGGUUUGGUAAGUCUUAUGUGAAAUCUACAGGCUCAACUUGUAGUCUGCAUGAGAAACUGCCGGGCUUGAGUUUGGCAGAGGAGACUGGAAUUCCUGGUGUAGCAGUGAAAUGCGUAGAUAUCAGGAGGAAUACCGAUGGCGAAGGCAGGUCUCUGGGCUAGAACUGACGCUCAUGCACGAAAGCGUGGGGAGCAAACAGG
rnacentral:rRNA from 1 species